GUCAUGGCUAAUGACCUUCAUGGGUAUUCUCUUCGCUUUCCUUGCUGAAAUUUGCACCACUCUCGGACAAAGAAAAAAAUUGAAGCAUUAAAGGGGAAGGAAACACAGAUUUUCUGUAUAUUGUGUAUUGCCAGUGACACUAAUGUGCUGUUUUCUCUAAUGUAUUUACUUAUAUGUAGAGAUUCUGACAUUUUUAGCUAGGUUUAGCUUAACUCGAGGCUUCAUAUCGAAGCUGAAGCUGGAAUGUUUAUUUGACUCAAAUUGUAAGUUAUUAGUAUUUUUCAAUUUCUCAUCCUCUUG
rnacentral:misc_RNA from 1 species